ACUCAACUCUCCCACAGUAUCAUGGAUAAAUUGUUCAAUUUUGUAGCUAAUAUGGAUAGCCACAACAACAGAGUCCUAAGCCAAUCAUAUCCCACGUUUAUUCGAACUAUCAGAAUUGUGAUCCCAUUUUCACUUCCUACCAAAUUUACUCAUAACUCUAUCUUUAUCAUGCUUCUUAACCCUCGUCUCAAGCAAAGCCAUUACUAAAGUUCUAUGCUUCCCCAUGAAGCUUUUUAUUUUAUCUGGUGUAAUGGUAAAGGUGAUACUGCCAACUUCAUUAUACAUGUGAGUGAUAACACCUGGACGCUCCAAACUUGCUACUUCUUUCCCUCUUUACCGUCUAGUCACAAUAUUCCAAGUAGAAACUUCAGAACUCUUAGUAGGCCCACCAUCAUUAUGCAUUAUAUCCACCACUAUGGCACUAUGCUUGAAGAUUUCUAGUUGGACAUCCCCCACCACAGCCUUUGCCUUACUUGGGAGCAAUCUCCCUGUUAACAUUCUAAACAGGCUCCUUCACCACAGGGUUAUGUUGUAACACCCGAACCAUCCGGAGUCGAGUCUAUUGUCACCAAUGCGCAUCCAAGGCCAACAACUAUCCUAAAUAACCAACACAAGUUUUUCCGCACUACUAAAAACAUGGGCAAAAAAAUCACAAAUAAGAGACCUCCUAAUGCAAAAGAGUGGUAAUUUAAUAAUAAGAACCUCACUUGUCAAAAAAGAGGUCUCUUCUAAUAGAGGAAAGAAACCUCUUAUUUUAUAAGGUGAUCUCUGAUAUUUUCUCACAAACCUCAUUUACUAAAAGGUGGUCUCUUAAAUUUUUUUCUCUCAUUUUUUUUACUCUCUUACUCCCAGAAACGUAACUGAAACCAUUGAUUCAUGGAAGUGUUUUUCAAAAUCUUUUUUUUUUUCUGGCAGAAUUCUAAAUCUUUAAUAAGGUCAUUUAAAACCCAUCUUUUAGUUACCACGCAGCCAAGGACAACCUAAUCUUCGCCCCAUCUUUUCCCUCUUCAUCUUCCUUCUAGCGUAGUAAUUUGAAUCUUUCUUUUCUGAGGGUUCAAGACUCAAUCUGAUUACACCAAUAUGGCGCUGCAAUUGGCCUCCGAUUCAUGCAUUGAGUGGUAAAAUUUAUUCCAUGAACUUGAGGAAGAUGAAUCGCAUUGUUGCGGUUAUUUGGGCUUGGAAGUAUGAUAAUUUAAAAGAGGUAACCUGAAAGGCUGGAAUUAUAUGGUAUUUCAAUAUCUGAACAUGUGCCUUUUUCCUUAGCUUGUUCAUGAAGUGAUAUAAUCUUUUCUAUAAAUAUGUUUUAUGCUCAAGGAUAGUUUCAUAUUUCAUGUGCAGGCAGGGGCGGAGCUACUUGGUAACAAGGGGUAGCAUGUGCUACCCCUAAAAUUUUUUGGAAAAAAAAUCUAGUUUAGCUACCGCUUUAUUGGUCGCAAAAAAUUUAUGUGUUAGAACUUAGAAUAAUCUCAUGAACUUAUAUUGUUUAUGAAGUGACGGUUAUUAUCAAGCAUGUUUUGUUUUGAUUUUUCUUAUUUAAGAAAAUGUUUUGGGCUGAUAAAUGGGGUAAAGAUUAUGGUAAACUCUACUUGUUAGGCAAAAUGGUUGAAGCAAUGCAGACCUUAUUGACAUUACUAACUGAUGUCAAUUUUUUAUCACAGCAGCAUACGAAUUACUGCUAUCAAUUUAGUGCACUCUGUCAUUUUGCAAAUCAACUGCUGUUAACAAGCGUGUUAAUUUAUAUGUGGUUGUCGAUGCCAUAUGUUGUUUAUCUUUUAUUCAGUACUUUGGCGCAACUUCAACAAUCUACUCCCAAAAUAAUACUGAUGAAGUUAGAGAAUUAUGGAUUAAAUUUGUGCAUGAGUAUAAACAAGGAGAUGAGGAUGAACUUGAAGAUAGAGUAGAAAGUGUAAUUUUGAUAUAAUAUCAUGUUUUAUAAUUUUUUUUCCA